CCGGCGGGCGGGUGCUUACACAUGCAGUCGAACGGGAUCCAUCAGGCUUUGCUUGGUGGUGAGAGUGGCGAACGGGUGAGUAAUGCGUGACCGACCUGCCCCAUACACCGGAAUAGCUCCUGGAAACGGGUGGUAAUGCCGGAUGCUCCGACUCCUCGCAUGGGGUGUCGGGAAAGAUUUCAUCGGUAUGGGAUGGGGUCGCGUCCUAUCAGGUAGUCGGCGGGGUAACGGCCCACCGAGCCUACGACGGGUAGCCGGCCUGAGAGGGCGACCGGCCACAUUGGGACUGAGAUACGGCCCAGACUCCUACGGGAGGCAGCAGUGGGGAAUAUUGCACAAUGGGCGCAAGCCUGAUGCAGCGACGCCGCGUGCGGGAUGACGGCCUUCGGGUUGUAAACCGCUUUUGAUCGGGAGCAAGCCUUCGGGUGAGUGUACCUUUCGAAUAAGCACCGGCUAACUACGUGCCAGCAGCCGCGGUAAUACGUAGGGUGCAAGCGUUAUCCGGAAUUAUUGGGCGUAAAGGGCUCGUAGGCGGUUCGUCGCGUCCGGUGUGAAAGUCCAUCGCUUAACGGUGGAUCUGCGCCGGGUACGGGCGGGCUGGAGUGCGGUAGGGGAGACUGGAAUUCCCGGUGUAACGGUGGAAUGUGUAGAUAUCGGGAAGAACACCAAUGGCGAAGGCAGGUCUCUGGGCCGUUACUGACGCUGAGGAGCGAAAGCGUGGGGAGCGAACAGGAUUAGAUACCCUGGUAGUCCACGCCGUAAACGGUGGAUGCUGGAUGUGGGGCCCGUUCCACGGGUUCCGUGUCGGAGCUAACGCGUUAAGCAUCCCGCCUGGGGAGUACGGCCGCAAGGCUAAAACUCAAAGAAAUUGACGGGGGCCCGCACAAGCGGCGGAGCAUGCGGAUUAAUUCGAUGCAACGCGAAGAACCUUACCUGGGCUUGACAUGUUCCCGACAGCCGUAGAGAUAUGGCCUCCCUUCGGGGCGGGUUCACAGGUGGUGCAUGGUCGUCGUCAGCUCGUGUCGUGAGAUGUUGGGUUAAGUCCCGCAACGAGCGCAACCCUCGCCCUGUGUUGCCAGCACGUCAUGGUGGGAACUCACGGGGGACCGCCGGGGUCAACUCGGAGGAAGGUGGGGAUGACGUCAGAUCAUCAUGCCCCUUACGUCCAGGGCUUCACGCAUGCUACAAUGGCCGGUACAACGGGAUGCGACACGGCGACGUGGAGCGGAUCCCUGAAAACCGGUCUCAGUUCGGAUUGGAGUCUGCAACCCGACUCCAUGAAGGCGGAGUCGCUAGUAAUCGCGGAUCAGCAACGCCGCGGUGAAUGCGUUCCCGGGCCUUGUACACACCGCCCGUCAAGUCAUGAAAGUGGGUAGCACCCGAAGCCGGUGGCCUAACCCUUUGUGGAUGGAGCCGUCUAAGGGAGAUUGU
rnacentral:rRNA from 1 species